UGUCUAGUCAGGCUAGUUCCCCUUUAUUCCUCUUCAUCUUAAGGGAUUUUCAAGCUAUUCUUGCAUGUUUAUCUUUUUCACUCAAUCUUCAAAACAACUUAUCUUAUUCCAGAAAAACAAGCAAACAAAUGAACACUUAUUUGUAUUGGAAUUGCACUAAAUUUAGACAUGAAACUGAAAAAAAUUGAUAUCUUUAUGAAGCUGCAUAAUCCUAUCCAAGAACAGACAUCUCCUUCCAUUUGAUUCAGGGAGUACAUGUGCAGUUUAUGUGAUUACACUGCAUGAUGCUGAGAAUGGGGUAUGGAUCCUGUCACGCAGACAAAAUAACAGUUCUUCCUGGAUCAGCCUUCUCCCGUCUGUCAUCUCCAACAGAUACAAAGCCAGCUUUAAAAAGACCAAACCUCCAAAAAUCAUUCAUGCUUUCUGCCUCCAUGUUUUUCUUUCCAACCUAGUUCCUCCAGAAAAUGUAAAAGAGCAGCCGAACCGUCAACUGGUACAAUGACUUCUACAUGUCAGACCUUGGCCACGCCACAGUCAUCAGAUUAUUCUAUCACAGGGGCUCUCAACCGUGGAAUAUGGUCUCCAAGGGAAACAAGCCAGAGAGGGCUCAGGAGCAUUGCUAUAAAGAGUAGGCAAAUGGAAAUCUUUCCCCAAAGGGCACACUGGGAUUGUUAGGCGAGGGCUGCUCAAUCCAUUAAAAGUUUAAACUCGAAAAAAAAAAAAGAAAAAAAAACCUUUUGAAAAAAUACAGAAAGCAACCUGUUCUAGAUUUUAUGUAUAAAAGAGAGUUUAUUCAGGGGACCAAAAUGUUGACAGUGAAUCAACUGGGAGGAUAUUUUCAAUCAGAACCGUCUGACUGACAGCUUUCAUAUUAUUAACGCACAUACUAGGAGACAUCAAAUUUGAAGGGCAGGCAUUGUGCUAAGUCAGACUUCUACCUUAAAAUGCAUUACAUUUUUUCUGUAAAUCAAGGUCAGUUAUUAAAUUAAGGUGCUCUCAUCCCUAAAUACUUUAUUCCAUCAUCGUGUGUAAUUAAUCACAAACCCCUUACUUGGGGUUCUUUAGAAAGUGAUGAGCAAAACCCAUAAAAAAUUAAGAGAAAAAAUAACAGAUAUCUUUUAAAAAACAGGGAAUAAGUGCAAGGAAAUUUAAGUAUAAGUAAAAAAAUUUGCAUGAUUCUUUAAAUAGAUAAUAGAUACAAUAAUAAUAAUUUUGGAGCCCUACAAUUCCACAGCACAUUAAUCUUUUCAAAUCUGUUAUUUUUCAUCAUUAAAACAAUCAUGUAAAACAGGUGGAGUACAUCAAUAUUCCAAUUUCACAGAUGCAUACACUGAGUCAAGGAAAAGUUAAGUAUCUAUUAAGUCAUCCAGCUUACUGGAAAUGGAACUGAGACUUGAAAGCAUAUCUUCUAAAUCCCACCUCUUCUCUAAAGAUAGUGUCACCUCUUCUCCAAAGAUAGUGUCAGGACAUAGAAAGCAGAAGUUAAACUGUAUGUGCUAUUCUGCCUUCCAUAUUUAUUUUUCCCAAGAAGUAAUUUAAAAAACACAUUGGAGAUAAUGCUUGUGAAGCACUUUGCUAAAUGCUAAAUUGUCCAAACACUUUGGGAAACAGUGGCAGUUUCUUAAAAAUUUAACAAAGAAUUACCAUAUGACCCAGCAAUUCCACUCCUAGCCAUGUACCGAGGAGAACUGAAAAUAUAUGUCCAUGUAAAAACUUAGAGUUAAAUAUUUGUAGCAGCUUUAUUUAAAAUAGCCAAGAAGUGGAAACAACCCCCCAAAAAUGUACCUCAGUGAUGGAUGUAUAAAUAAAACAUGUUGUAUACGUAACAAUGAAAUAUUAUUUAGCCACAAAAAGAAAUGAUGUUUCUUUUUCUAUUACUUGGCCAUAAAAAGAAAUAAAGUGUUUUGUUUUGUUUGGUUUGGUUUUUUUGUAGCAUGUACUGACCUGGAAAACCUCAUGCUAAGUGAAAGAAGGCAGUUACAAAGGACCACAUAUUUUUCAUACCAUUUAUAUAGCAUGUCUAGAACAGGCAAAUCUAGAGAGAUGGAAAGUAGGUUAGUGGUUGGCUAGUAGCAGAGUAAGCAAGCAGGGAUUGGAGGGUGUUGGCUAAGGAAUACAGGGUUUCUUUCUGUGGUGAUUUUCUUAAAAAGUUCUAAAAUUGAUUGUUG